CUAAAACCAGUCAUUAAUCCAGUCUUUAAAUCAUGUUCAACAUUUACACAUUUAAGUAUCAUAAAUCUCUCAAAUAAAGAUUAGACUGACAUAUAAGUCAACAUAAUAUUAUUGAACAAAUCUAACCUUCCUGUCUCUUAUAUACCAUAAUAUGAUGUUAAUUAAUAUAAAGUAAUUGCUACUCACAUUGAAGGUUCAUUAAAAGUCACACAGCACACAUCUCCAUCAUCUACACAUUAUCCAGGUGAAAUGUUUGGAGACAAAGGAAGACAAGUCGAGUCCAUCCCUCUCUUUAUAAUGUGAGAGUGACUCACAACUGCAUUGAACCACCAGUUGUUUCAUUGUGGCGAGGAGGAAAAAUACACUUACAGUUUGUAACAGGGACAAUAAACAAUGAUUAUUAGUUAGUAAAACUUUUGAAGGAGAAAUUCUCCCAAAUAUUGAGAGUUUACUGACAUUAAAAUGUUGAUUCAUUUAUCAACAUUUAGUACAGACACACAUUACAUGUAGAAGCUCUUUUGUCUUUUUCCACUCACUGUUCUCAUAUUUGAAAUCCUGUUUCUUUAGUUUUUAAUGUUUAUUUUCAUACUGAUGAAGGAGUUUCAUAACACUGUUUAUUACUUUCUGCAGGGAGGAGAUACUGAAAGUACUCACCAGAACCAGAACCAGAACCAGAACACAGUCCACUAAAUCCAGUGUGUUCUUCAAGAGUGAUCAGUCAAAAGAUGACACCAUCUAUUUCAACAAAACACUCUCAAAAGAAGACGUCAUUAGUUUCAGCAAAACACACUCUAUUCUCAGGUCAGAUUUUUUAAACAAUGAUCUGCAUUUAUUACAUGUAGACACACACACACACACACACACACACACACACACACACACACACACACACACACACACACACACAGUUGGUGUUAAAUAAACUACUUGUUAUUAUUACUAUGUGAUAUAGAGCCAUAUCAGAGCAGUUAUCUAACAGUCAGCUGCUCACUGUUUGACCAUAAGGUGUCACAUACUAUUGUUCAGAUCCAUAAGAACUAAAUGCUUCAGUGAAUUAUCUUAAUGUUCAGGGUUGACUAUUAUUUGAUUUUAGGGCUCUGACUUUUAUUGGAAAUGAGGACUUUAGUUCAAAUGGUUGAAAAUAAUGUGAUACUGACUGUAAUGACCUGUUUGAAUUCAACAUUUACAGUCUGUGAGGGAAACACACAGGUUGAAGUAGUUUGCCUUGUGGACCAACAGAGGGCGCUACUGGAAUUAAAUAUCAGUUUGUCAUAAGAAUAAAUCAGAAUGUAACAUCUCACAUUCAGAUGGUCUCUCAGUAUAAGUGAUAAAUGAGUUCUCAUAUAAAAUGUAGAUAUUAUUGCACAAAGGGAUGCAGUCAGAGUGCUCAUACAGUCGCUGUAGGUUGUUCUCACUGUGUCUAAUGUACCUGCAGUUACUGCAGUGAGUCAGUGUGAGGACACAGAGGAGGAGGUUCUCCUUCUGAAACCUCUCUGUGUGAACUACAUCACAGAGUCACUGAUCAGCACUCAGCUCUCUCUAUGAAAUGUGUCAUAUUGGUAACCAUCUCCUGUAUUUGAAGCUCCAAUCACUGUAAUUAGACACAUAAUGAGAUUAUAGUAGGUGGUGAACAGGCUGGUAGGACCGGAGGUAAACAUUUUAAAGAAGACACUCCUCUCCUAAAAAGAAGAGUUUACUGACAUUAAAAUGUUAGAUUCAUUUAUCAACAUUUAGUACAGACACACAUACAUGUAGAAGCUCUUUUGUCUUUUUCCACUCACUGUUCUCAUAUUUGAAAUCCUGUUUCUUUAGUUUUUAAUGUUUAUUUUCAUACUGAUGAAGGAGUUUCAUAACACUGUUUAUUACUUUCUGCAGG
rnacentral:lncRNA from 15 species